UACGUAGGGUGCGAGCGUUAAUCGGAAUUACUGGGCGUAAAGCGUGCGCAGGCGGUCUGUUAAGACCGAUGUGAAAUCCCCGGGCUUAACCUAGGAACUGCAUUGGUGACUGGCAGGCUUUGAGUGUGGCAGAGGGAGGUAGAAUUCCACGUGUAGCAGUGAAAUGCGUAGAGAUGUGGAGGAAUACCGAUGGCGAAGGCAGCCUCCUGGGCCAACACUGACGCUCAUGCACGAAAGCGUGGGGAGCAAACAGG
rnacentral:rRNA from 1 species